rnacentral:rRNA from 1 species
UAAUACGGAAUGUGCAAACGUUAUUCGGAAUCACUGGGCUUAAAGAGUCCGUAGGCGGCUUGUUAGGUGAGGUGUGAAAUCCCUCGGCCCAACCGAGGAAUUGCGCUUCAAACCGGCAAGCUAGAGGAGGAUAGAGGUGGGCGGAACUGAUGGUGGAGCGGUGAAAUGCGUUGAUAUCAUCAGGAACACCGGAGGCGAAGGCGGUCCACUGGGUCCUUUCUGACGCUGAGGGACGAAAGCUAGGGGAGCGAACGGGAUUAGAUACCCCGGUAGUCCUAGCCUUAAACGAUGAGCACUAGACCGAAGAACCUCCACGGUUUUUUGGUCGUAGCGAAAGUGUUAAGUGCUCCGCCUGGGGAGUAUGGUCGCAAGGCUG